rnacentral:ncRNA from 2 species
GGGUUAGUAGGCUGGUCAUGCCUCCGGUAUGUACUGGUCUCACUGAUUCCUCCCUCCUGACGAACCUUAAUGCCAUUAAUUUGGUGUUUUGGGAAAUUUGGACUGUUACUUUGAAAAAAUUAGAGUGUUUAAAGCAAGCUAACGCUUGAAUACAUUAGCAUGGAAUAAUGAAAUAGGACGUUCGAUCCUAUUUUGUUGGUUUCUAGGAUUGACGUA